rnacentral:rRNA from 1 species
AUUGAACGCUGGCGGCAGGCCUAACACAUGCAAGUCGAACGAGUGGCGGACGGGUGCGUAAUGUCUGGGAAACUGCCUGAUGGAGGGGGAUAACUACUGGAAACGGUAGCUAAUACCGCAUACCCUCAGAUGUGCCCAGAUGGGAUUCGCUAGUGGGUGGGGUAACGGCUCACCAAGACGCCGAUCCCGAGCUGGUCUGAGAGGAUGAACAGCCACACUGGAACUGCGACCCGGUCCAGACUCCUACGGGAGGCAGCAGGGGGGAAAUUUGCACAAUGGGCGCAAGCCUGAUGGAGCCAAGCCGCUUGUAUGAAGAAGGCCUUUGGGUUGUAAAGGACUUUCAGCGGGGAGGCGUUACCCGCAGAAGAAGCACCGGCUAACUCCGUGCCAGCAGCCGCGGUAAUUC